UGUGCUCUGUGUUCAUCAGCAGCCCCGUUCUGUCUCAGCGCUGACCCCCAAGGCACCCCAAAAAAGCUGGGGGGAGCUAGGCUCCUUUCUGGGCACCUGAGCAAUCCUGAAGCUUUCAACGAGUGAUGUAAGUAUCUAAAGAGCAACACUGGCUCCUGGAGUCUUGGAGAAUGAGGACGAGUAAGAGGGGAACAUGAAAACAAGUGACACUGGAGGAGCUUCUGCUGGCUCCGAUGACCCAUGGGCAUGUCUUGGGACCAGGGUGCUGAUUUGGGAAGGUCUGUGUCACUGUGUUUUCAUUCCUGGGAGCAGCUCAGGGAACCAGGGCUUGGUAUGCAGCUGAGUCUGUCAGUCUUUUGACACUGUCCCAUCCAAAAAGCUCCUGAACCCGCUUGCUGAGCUCACAAGCUCUGGCUCCUUGCCUGCUUCCCCCCUGAGGGCUGGUUGGAAGGCACAGGCAUGGGCAGAAUGAGCACUUACAUCUGUCCUGAUGUCUCUGCAGUGACAAAAAGGAUCAUUUUGGUCACUACAGAUGCAGUCAGAGCUUGAAGGACCAGAGACCCCACCACAGCCCAUGCUGGGUCAGAUCCAGCUGGCCUGAGUUUGGAGGCAGCCUGUUCAGUCCUGGCUUUCUGAAGGUUGUUCCUCUAUGGCCCUGGCUAGUUCCUUGUCCCUGAAGACCUUACAUGGGUAGGGUGGGAGUCUGACAGGUAGAUGUCCUAGGAGUUCAACUUCCUGCACAACAUUCCCAAAGUGAGCUGCCACUGGUGUGGCACCUGUAUAGACCAUCUCAGGGCAUGUUUUCUACUUAUGGCUUCCUUCAUACUCCUGCCCACCCUGCUGAGGAUGAGACCCUGGGGAUGUGGCAGCAGCUGAGGCCCAAACCCCUGCCAGGGACUGUCACCAAGCCCAGGAACAUCCCUGGGCUCCCAAAGGGAUGGGGAGAUCCACCAGCCUGCAUCCCAGCAGCACCCAGCCGAGCAGGGCUGGGGCAAGAGCUUCCAGCAGCGCUUUCCCCCCUCUUCCCCAAGUUGUUAUUUCAGCUGCUGGAGCCUCGGCGGGGCCGACAAACACCCCGCAGGUGCUGUUUGCAAGUACCUUCCCCUCGGAACGCCCCGCGCCCCCCGGGACAGGCACCGCAUACACGGACCCUUGUGCUCGCCUCCCUCCCGACCCGGCGGGUAACAGAGCCGGCUUUUCUGCCAGCAUAGAGCCGGCGGCAGCGCUCGGCCCGGGCCACCGCGCUCCAGCCCUCCAGGGCUGCCUCUUAACCUGGAGAAGCAGCGGGUUAUUCGUGUUGCUCUUGGCAGGGACACCCCCGGCCCUCCGAAAGGCGCGGAGCUGCGGGGCACGGGCCAGCCCGCGCUGUUUGUGUUGGACCCGCCGCGCCGGGAAUUAGUUCAACUCAGCUGCUAAUUGCUUCUGAAGUGCGGGGCCGUGUCGAGCGGACGCGGACACGUGUGGGGACAGCGGCCGUGUUUCGCUCGGCGCUCUCAAGAACCCGGCGUCUCGCCCCUCCCGGAUGCAUCAGCCCCGCUGGACCCGCAGCGAGUGGAGGUGUUUUGGCCGUGACUCCCGUUUCCCAGGAGCCCCGGUAUGGAGAUGCGAUGCUCUGCUUUUGCUGGAGAGAGAGCAACCCCCUUCCCUGCCCCAUGUCAUCUCUCCCGGGCUGGGGAAGGGGGAACUGGUGGGGAGGAGGCUUUCCCAGCCCCAAAUCCCCGUUCUGAGCUCUGCUGGUUCUCCCUGCCCUGUGUCACCCAGUUUGCUCUCAGGCUUCUUUGUGAGUUUGACUGGUGGGACUGGUGACUGGGAAAGGCAGGCAGUAGGAAUGGAGGGUUUUGCCCUGCAGAAGGGCUUCUGUCUCCCUUGAGCAUGGGCUGACCCCCUCCAUCCCUGUCCUUCUGCUGUACUUCGUCCUGCCAUAGCUUCAGGGCUGGGGUGGUGGUGUGGAGGGGUCCAGUUCCCUCACCUCCAUAUGAGCCUCACUGAGGGCAGGCAGGAGCAGAGAGGCCUUGAAAGCACCACCCUGCACAUUGUAUGGAGCGUUUCUGGCACCUCCAGACACGCUGGCACCCAAGCACUGGCAUGCUGAGCAUUUCCCUUUGCAGGCUGGACACAGCAUCAUUCCCCUUUGAGCUGGCCAACUUCACCUGUAGUACCAGCUGUCCAUCCUGGUGGGAGGGGGUGUCCUUUCCCAGAGCCAGGUGGGAUCUAGGACAGGAGGGGUUGCUGCCAGGUGAUAUCCUGGCUUUGAGAAGAGGCUGCCAACCCUACCACCAUCUUUCCUGCAGCCAUGACUGUGCCAUGUUGACCCAUGGCAUGUUGACCCCAGGGUGAUGUGCAGGGAGAGGGCUCUGUGCCAGGUCAAGGGCUGAAAGCCCCAGGCAGCCUCAGGUCUCAGGGGUGGACAUGGUCCCCUGGUCCUCAUCCCUUGAGGUUUAGCAUUGGCUAUUGCUUUGAGCCUCUGUGGGCUAAGCCAGGCUGCCUGUCCUGUGCCUGCAUCCCUGCUGGAUGCUCAGCCCCUCCCUGGAUUGCUGCCCCACUGGUCUGCAUCCUGCCGUCCUGCCUGUGCCCUCCCCCAGCCCCCUCCUCCCUCCCCCUGCUUUCCUUUAGUAAUUGUCCUUUAAAAGCCCAAAGCCCAUUGUCCAAACGGGGAUUAAGCACCAUCUGUACAAACUUUGAGGCCAUUUUCGGUGACUUGGAGGAAACGGGAUGACUCAGAGGGACGUUGCGACACAGAUCGGCUGUGACCCCGGCCGGGCGGGUGGAUCGCUGCGGAGCAGCUCUGUUAACCCAGGCACCUCCCGGCAGCCUUUUGAGGCUCGAGGCAAAACAGCCAGCAGCAGUUUUCAGAGGGCUGUGGGAUCCCCCCCUCAUCUGUGAGAUGUUUCCAAACAACCAUCCUUCGUGGCAGAGCCUGUAAGUCCCUCUGGUCCUGCUGGUGGCUCCUGAGAUCCGGUUUGGAGCAGUGCUGGUGGGAAGGAGAUGCACUGUGUGGACUUCACAGCAGAAUGCUCAGGCCAGAAGGCCCACCCUUAGCGUGGGACCUCCCAAGCCCCUCAUGCUGUGACCCUUUUCCCUCGAAAUGGUUGGUUGGUGAAGGUGGCCUUGGAAGAAGGUGACAGGAAGCCCAGCGUGCACUGACAGAUGUUGGGAGACGCCUUCUCAUGGGAGUAGGAAAGUUGUGCUCAAGUAGCUUCUCUCCAUCCCACCUCACGUCCCCCUGUGCAUGACAUGUUCCCCUAGCCCCUUGGGACUGGGGUGGCACCCAAACUGAGGACACAGUGCAUGGGAGGCAGAGCACCAGGCUGCUGGCUGUGCUGGCCCAGCAGCAAGGAGCACUUGGCCAAAGCAGGGAUAUCCAGCAGGAUGUUUUGCAGGCAAAAAACAAAACCCUGCCUUAGUGAACUUCAAUAAAAACCCCCUUUGAUCCAGUGUCCUGAAGGAAGUUAGGGAAAAGAAAACAGAUUAAGGUUGGGAAGACUGAGUGGAUUAGAUGUUUUGAAGGAUUUGAGGUGAUUUAGCUUAUCCCAUAAUUACAGGAGGUGGAUCUGGGUCCUGAGGAGGGCAGGCACAACUAAACCCAAGUUGCUGAACAAGGAUCCCUGGGUGAUGGAUGUGAGAAUGAGGAGUAAAGUGCUUCUGAUUUUUGUGAGGGAAAAGGGGAUUUCUAGCUUGCAACUUUCCCCCUUUGCCCCCUGUUUUCCUUGUUCCCCAGCUCCACCAUGGCUUGACUCUGCUGAUGUGCAAGAAGUGAUGCUGGAGCAGCUCUGAGCUCAGAUCAACAGCAAGGAUGAGGCAGGGCUGGACUUUGAGUGAUUGCAGUGUUAUGGGAGGAGCAUCAGGAAAAUGGUCCUCAUUUGGAAGUGUUUUGCUCAGCUCCUGCUUGUGGUGCUGUCCAUGCCCACUGCAGUGGGAUGGGAAACUGGUGUGAGAUGUGCUGGGGGUGUGCAUGUAUCCAAAUCUGGCAUCCUGUGUGCAGCUCAGGGUCUUCACAAUCCUGAGAGGUGAUGAUUGGGGCAGGAAAUAAGUAGCUCUCAACAAGGAGCUGUGAUUAAGGCAGCUUUACACCACAAGUGCUGCCUAGACAGAUACAAUAACACCAGAAGUUGGUGAAAUUAUUAGACAGAGCUUAAGUAAAAUGGUCUGAAGACAGUGCUAAGGCAGGUGAGUUUUUGCUUGACUUAACGUACAGAACAGAGAAGAAAAGGAGAGGAAAGAAUUUCCCCCAUGAAAAUCUCAGCUGGUUCAGUUUCCAGUGACGGUCAAAGAGUUAAAGUUGAUAUGUUGGGAGUUAUGAGUGUUUAUCUAAAAGAAAAGUGGCAGGUGAAAGGGAUAAAAUAACACAGUUUGUAAAGCAAUGCAAUAUGUUUGAAUUAUCCGAGGAUCAGAGUAGGAAUUUGGAAGGUAAUAUUGGAUAGAAGGAAAUGGGAGAUGGAGACAGAAAUAGGAUGGGGAAAAAACAGCUUGAGUUGGCUUUCCCAUUGGUUGCUACAAAGGAAAAAAAUGGAUUGUUAUCAUUAGGACCACUGUGAAUAUGUUUAUUAGAGGGGAUUUUUAUUGUACUUUCAGAAUUAAGCUCAGGGCCUCUGCUGUAUCAGGGCACAGAACAGCCCCUCCUGAGCUGGGUUUGGCUGGAAAAACGUGCAGUACCAUGCCCAGAACAUCCCUGGACAUGGCCUUUGUGCUCAGCUGACCUGUGGAACACCCAGUGCCACCCCUGACUGGUCGCCAGAUCCUUUGUUUCCUCCUCGGUGUGAUGUGAGUGCUCAGCCCUGGGGCAGAAUUGGGUUCCCCCCUUGGUGCUUCUGCUCUUGCCUUCAUAUCACUGGGAGGCUUUCUCCAGGGAGAAGCACAGGGGUGAUGGCACUGGGUGUUCCACGGGUCAUCUGAGCACAAGGAUCAUGUCCAGGGGUGUUCUGCAUGUUUUUCCAGCCAAACCCAGCUCAGGAGGCCCUGAGCUUAAUUCUGAAAGUACAAUAAAAAUACCCUCUAAUAAACAAAUGUCUUGGCACCGUGGGAAGAUGCAUGGGAUGCAGCUGGGAAACUGCUCUGCUAGGGGAGCUUGGGCACCUCCAAAGGGCUGUUCUUAAACUGUGGCAGAGCUGUGCAGGAAGAUUUCAAAUGGAUUUAUCCCAGUGCCCUCACUCUUAAUUGGCUUCUAUGACAUUGGCUUCACCUGCUCUCCAGGCACUAUCCCCAGCAGUCCAGAAUUCAACUUCUCCUGGGCUGUUUGCCUGGUUCUGGGAUGUUUCCAGCUCCUGCUGGCUGAGAAACUCAGAGAGGGCUUGGGGAAGUGGCAGCACCUCCACCGCUGCCUCUGCCUGGAGCCUUCUACCUGGACAGGCUCCCCAGUCCCAAAAUCUCCAUUCCCCUCCUCAGCCACAUCUUUGUCCUGACCUCUGCUCCCCUAAGUGGUAUGUUGUUGCCUCCAGCACCUUCACCUCCUGAAGCCCUUGGCUGGCAGCUCUCACAGCCACAGUGUUGAGAGAUUCUCUCCCAUCCCAGUGUUCCUGUGCCUUUGGCACUCCCCGAGGAGACCAGGGCUGUGUUCCAGCCUCCGUGUGGUUUGCAGGUACCAUGAUACACACCAGCCUUCUCUAACCAAGAGAAGGUAAAAGAAAAAGCCUAAGGGCAGGGUAUAAUUGAUGCCUUGACUUUCCUGAAUCUGCAGGCACCCCACAGCAAGGGCUCCCAGGUGACCAUCAUCCCAGUGGCAUUCCUUAUCAGCCUGACAUUUCCCAGCUGUGUCACAUGGAAAAGGGAAGCGACAAAGUGACUUUAUUGAGGGAAAAAUGUCACAAAAGAUCGAUUUAUUUUGCAUCUAAUUCAGCUCUAAGGGCCUCCCAGAUGUUCAGGGUUUCUUGGUGGAAAUGAAAUGGUUGCAGAUUUUCCAGCUGGCCAGGGAGCAGAGAACUUACCCCAGGCCAGGCCCCAGAUGAGCUAUCUGCAGGGCUUCCACUGCUGCUUCUUCACUUGGAGAUAACCAUGGGGAAAGGCAGAACAGCCAAAGGUCAUUUUUCUUAAUGGCAUCUUGGGGUUUUGGUCUGUCCCACUCUUCCCUUAUGGUCCCAGACCCCUUGAGUGUGUCAUCGUCCUGCUGUGAUUGCCCACUGAAGCUGUGGCUGCCUCAUCCCUGGAAGUGUCCAAGGCCAGGCUGGAUGGGGCUUGGAGCGACCUGGGAUAGUAGAAGAUGAGCUUUAAGUUUCCUCCCAACCUGAACCAUUCUGGGAUCCUACUCCUCCAAG